rnacentral:lncRNA from 1 species
GGUUUGGGGUUUCGGGUUUGGGGUUUCGGGUUUGGGGUUUCGGGUUUAGGGUAUGGGGUUUGGGGGUUGGGGUUUCGGGUUUGGGGUUUAGGGUAUGGGGUUUCGGGUUUGGGGUUUCGGGUUUAGGGUAUGGGGUUUGGGGGUUGGGGUUUCGGGUUUUGGCUUUCUGAUUCUAGGGAUUCAAACAUAACACUCGUUAAUUCCACGUAAGCACAAAUCGUCGUAAAGUCC